GAGUUCGAUCAUGGCUCAGAUUGAACGCUGGCGGAGUGCUUUACGCAUGCAAGUCAGACGGCAGCACGGACUUCGGUCUGGUAGCGAGUGGCGAACAGGUGAGUAAUGUAUCGGAACGUGCCCACAAGUAGCAGGGGAUAACUGCGCGAAAGCGUAGCUAAUACCGCAUGCACGCCUUCGAGGAAGCGAGACCUUCCAGGCCUCGCACUAUUAGAGCAGCGAUAUCAGUUCGCUAAGUUGGUGGGAGUAACGGCUCACCAAAGGCGAAGCAGAUCCCGUAGCUGGUUUAAGAGGACGACCAGCCACACUGGGACUGAGACACGGCCCAGACUCCUACGGGAGGCAGCAGUGGGGAAUUUUGGACCAAUGGGGGAAACCUGAUCCGGCCAUCGCGUAUUGCGAUGAAGGCCUUCGGGUUGUAAAAGCACUUUUGGCAGAAGAAACGGCACGGGAUAAUACCCCGUGCAACCAAUGGCCUGCAGAAUAAGCACCGGCUAACUACGUGCCAGCAGCCGCGGUAAUACGUAGGGUGCAAGCGUUAAUCGGAAUUACUGGGCGUAGAGCGUGCGCAGGCGGUUCCGGAAAAGAAAGAUGUGAAAUCCCCAGGGCUUAACUUUGGAACUUGCAUUUUUAACUACCGAGCUAGAGUGUGUCAGAGAGGAGGUGGAAUUCCGCGUGUAGCGGUGAAAUGCGUAGAUGCGGAGGAACACCGUUGGCGAAGGCAGCCUCCUGGGAUAACUGACGCUCUGCAGCGUGGGGGCAAACCCAGGAUUAGAUACCCUGGUAGUCACGCCCCAAACUGAUGUCAACUAACCUGUUGGGGCCUUCGGGCCUUGGUAGCGCAGCUAACGCGUGAAGCUGACCGCCUGGGGUACGGUCGCAAGAUUAAAACUCAAAAGGAAUUGACGGGGACCCGCACAAGCGGUGGAUGAUGUGUGGAUUAAUUCGAUGCAACGCGAAAACCUUACCUACCCUUGACAUGUCAGGGUCCGAGAUUUGGGAGUGCUCGCAAAGGGAACCGGAACACAGGUGCUGCAUGGCUGUCGUCAGCUCGUGUCGUGAGAUGUUGGGUUAAGUCCCUGAAGCGCAACCCCUUGUCUGGUGCUACGAAAGGAGCACUCUAAUGAGACUGCCGGUGACAAACCGGAGGAAGGUGGGGAUGACGUCAAGUCCUCAUGGCCCUUAUGGAGUAGGCUUCACGUCAUACAAUGGUCGGGACUGAGGUCGCCAACCCGCGAGGGAGCCAAUCAGAAACCCGAUCGUAGUCGGAUCGCAGUCUGCAACUCGACUGCGUGAAGUCGGAAUCCGCUAGUAAUCGCGGAUCAGCAUGUCGCGGUGAAUACGUUCCCGGGUCUUGUACACACCGCCCGUCACACCAUGGGAGUGGGUUUUACCAGAAGUAGUAGCCUAACCGUAAGGAGGGCGAUUACCACGGUAAGGAUUCAUGACUGGGGUGGAAGUCGUAACAAGGUAG
rnacentral:rRNA from 1 species